GGCUGUUUGAACUAUUUCUUGAAGUGUGAGAUACUAUGUUGAUAGAUGGUCUGCACACUUUAGUAAAUUGGCCAUUUUUAUGUAUUUUGCUUAGUAAAAUUGAUUGAUUGUGCUAUUAAAGAAUUAAAUAAGAAUUUACAUCUAUCCCUAGAUUCUGAAUCUAGAAUAUAGCACUAGAUAAAGUAAAAGUUUGCAUAGGAUUUAUGAAUAUUAUUUUUCUUUGUUUCAGAGAAAUAAUUUCCGUUUCUUCUUUCUUUUCAAUUUUUUGUUUAUAUAUGCUGUAGCAUAGUUUCAGGAAGAUGAAUUUCUUUAAAACAAAGGUUUCUAUUUCUUUCA
rnacentral:misc_RNA from 1 species